GGGAAACGGGAUGAGAGGCCCAGCCCCAGGGCCCGGCAAAAAACACUUGGGGCA
rfam:Sarcophilus harrisii ctg7180002492571, whole genome shotgun sequence.